AUGCAAGUAGAACGCUGAAGCUUGGUGCUUGCACCGAGCGGAUGAGUUGCGAACGGGUGAGUAACGCGUAGGUAACCUGCCUGGUAGCGGGGGAUAACUAUGGAAACGAUAGCUAAUACCGAUAACAGUAGAUGUGCAUGAAACUAUUGAAAGGGGCAAUUGCUCCACUACCAGAUGGACCUGCGUUGUAUUAGCUAGUUGGUGAGGUAACGGCUCACCAAGGCGACGAUACAUAGCCGACCUGAGAGGGUGAUCGGCCACACUGGGACUGAGACACGGCCCAGACUCCUACGGGAGGCAGCAGUAGGGAAUCUUCGGCAAUGGACGGAAGUCUGACCGAGCAACGCCGCGUGAGUGAAGAAGGUUUUCGGAUCGUAAAGCUCUGUUGUAAGAGAAGAACGAGUGUGAGAGUGGAAAGUUCACACUGUGACGGUAUCUUACCAGAAAGGGACGGCUAACUACGUGCCAGCAGCCGCGGUAAUACGUAGGUCCCGAGCGUUAUCCGGAUUUAUUGGGCGUAAAGCGAGCGCAGGCGGUUAGAUAAGUCUGAAGUUAAAGGCUGUGGCUUAACCAUAGUACGCUUUGGAAACUGUUUAACUUGAGUG
rnacentral:rRNA from 1 species